rnacentral:rRNA from 1 species
UACGUAGGGUGCGAGCGUUAAUCGGAAUACUGGGCGUAAAGCGUGCGCAGGCGGUUUUGUAAGCCAGAUGUGAAAUCCCCGGGCUCAACCUGGGAACUGCAUUUGUGACUGCAUCGCUGGAGUGCGGCAGAGGGGGAUGGAAUUCCGCGUGUAGCAGUGAAAUGCGUAGAUAUGCGGAGGAACACCGAUGGCGAAGGCAAUCCCCUGGGCCUGCACUGACGCUCAUGCACGAAAGCGUGGGGAG